UUUUUCUUUUCUUUGUUAGAUUCUUUUAUUUAAUGUCUCAAAAUUAUUCAAUUUACUGUAUCCUUUGCCAGCUCAAUUAUUUGGCAUGCCAAGAAAAAAAGUACUGAAACUAUAUUUUAUUUGCAUUAAUUGGUAAUAGCUGUCUCGUACGACCAUGCAAUUCAUGGAGGAGCCUUGAGUUGAAUUCUGUUUCCUGAUGGUUACCCAUUACCUAAGGUUCAUUGGAUGCCUGUACGGCUUGUCUAUUAGAUAUCCUUGUGAGGCUAGACGUGAGAAAGUGUUUGCAGGUGCAGAGAGAGGAAUUAUUUCAAACAGGGAACCUUGGGUCAUCUGAUCUCUGAAAAGAAAAAGGGAUGCCAGACAUUACUUUUUAAAAGUAUUGAGACCCAGGGGCUUCUUCCUGAUUGAAACAAUCUCUUCUAUCCUGUCUCUCUUCAUUCUCUCAAUUUAGACAUUUGAGAAGUUACCUUUAAUGUUUUGUUUAACACAGAAAUUCAAUAAUUCACAAAUAUGCUUUACGUUCACUUGGACUUUGAAGAUAGUAUCUCUUAUUUAUCAGAUAACCACAGGGAAUGCUUGAGUGAGAUAUUUUAAGGCUGUGAAUUCUUGCCUCCAUGUUCAUAGAUGAGUUAAAUGAUUGUCACAAGUCAAAC
rnacentral:lncRNA from 1 species